UACAGAGGGUGCAAGCGUUAAUCGGAAUUACUGGGCGUAAAGGGCGCGUAGGCGGUUCGAUAAGUCGGGUGUGAAAGCCCCGGGCUUAACCUGGGAAUUGCAUUCGAUACUGUCGGGCUCGAGUAUGGUAGAGGAAAGCGGAAUUCCACAUGUAGCGGUGAAAUGCGUAGAUAUGUGGAGGAACAUCAGUGGCGAAGGCGGCUUUCUGGACCAAUACUGACGCUGAGGCGCGAAAGCGUGGGGAGCAAACAGG
rnacentral:rRNA from 1 species